rnacentral:lncRNA from 1 species
CAAAGGGGUUGAACUUCUUCUCUGCUUUAGAGCAGAUCAACUCAGAACAAAAUUUUCAAGAAUUUACUUUGUUCUUUUGCUUCUUGUUUUAAAUAUUGAUAUGAUUUUACGGCUGCAGUUGAAAGUAUAAAUUUAAAAAGCGCAUUACUUGCUUUCGAUCUCUAUGUCUAUAAGAGAACAACAUUAAGCGAGACUGUAGAGGGACACCUUAGGGAGUCCCACUUUUAUGACAGACCAAACACCAGAAACCAUUCAAAAUAGCAGCAGAUAACUGAGAGGACAAUGUAUUCUAGAGAUGAAAAGACAGGAAAGACCUGUGAAGAGUUCACAGGAAGCUUUGUUGAAACUUUCAGGUGGUUGAUCAAUCUCAUUUUUCUCUCUUUGCCUGCCUUCUACUUAGAAGUGCUCUUUCUAUGUAAGGAUGGCCAGCGUAUCUGAGGUCCCAAGGUACCAGUCUACUGAUGGUAGCCAAAGUUUGGACCGAAACGAUCGGAAAAAAAAAAGACUCGCAAUGAUCUUUGCCCUGAGUAUAGAAAAGGCAGCAGCAAGCUUUGAAACUCUCUGAAAGAUAGUCCCUCUUGCUGAGUUCAAAGAAGUGGUUAUUGUCAUGGGGAGAUAAGGAAGUGGGACUAUUGAUCCACUCAGAAAGUUGUCUUUAGAUUUUCAGCUGAUCGUUUUACUGCUCUGAAUCUCCUCAGAGAUAGAGUUAUAGUGUAAAUUAGAGCCUCCGUGCAAUAUUACAGGACACAAUGCACUAUUUAUUGAACAUUCCAGCAAUUUUACAGCACUUUUUCUUAAAUCAAAACUUCUACAUCAAUGCAGCAAAACUCGAAUUGCAGCAAAACACAAUUUUGGAAAUAGAAGACUGCUAUUUCUUUGAGUGGAUGAGUUUUGAAUUGGAUGUAGAGCUCCAUUAAUCCACCAGCACGAGCUAAAGUUGAUUGCAGCUAAAACUACAGAUGUCAUUUCAGCUUAAAAUGUGCACAAACACUUUACCCAGGUUUCCACUCAUUCAGAGCAGUGGAAAUAGUUUACCUGAGAGUUGCUUUUUUUUUCUUUUUUGCCACUUUAGAGAUGCUUAUAGAGGCAGUUUGCAGCUUCAAAGGUUGACUUCUAUCUCAAGGGCAACCAUAAUUCCAAGAAGACACACUUGCACACAUGCAGAGGCACACACAUCCUUCACAAACAUACACACAGUCCAGAGUGCUGUAAUAGAACUCUAGGAGGGUUCUCUUCGCCUGAUGCAUCCUGUUGUUUUUGUUUCACAGAAUUUCACUUCUUCAUCGUCUCCCCAGCCUGGGUUGUGGGGCAUCAAACCAAGGACAUUACAAGUGAGAAAAGACAUAUAAAAAAGAGGGGAAGAAGAAGAAGAAGUGCCAAAGAGAAUAAGGGAAUAGAAAAAUAUCAAAAAACCCCAGUGGGCGUGAAAGUAAGGCUGCGAUAGAGCCAAGAGGAAAAAGAGCAGAGAGGUGAGAAGUGGGAAAAAAGAAAAAAGCAGAGGAAAAAAAGGAAGAGUCGUGAAAGUGUAAAGUAACAUGAGUGAAGGAGAAGUUUCAUGCAGCAGGUGACAGAGACAAAGGGACAGAAAGCUGCUGAGAUGAAGAACGGGAGUUUCUCUGAGGGCAGUCUUCUCAGGAUGGAAGAAAGUGAGAGAACUGAGGAACAGCAGGGGAUAGAAACAAAAUACGUCAGGAGAUAUUUGGUCGUCUCUGAGCACUCCUAUUACUACACUGUCAACCUUAAACAUCUAUGAUAGCACAUCUACAAUGAUAUCAUUGUGACAUGAUUACUUUGUGCUGACUUACGCACAUCCUGACAAGUGAGUGCUUUAACCUAAUGCUAACAAGCUGAGAUGUUAAGGAAGUACAAAGUGUUAUCUAAAGCAUCACACUACAGCUAAACAUAUUUGCAUUUACUAUACUCCGCUGAAGAGAGAUCAAAAACUUAUCGAAAGAAGUGCUGAAACAAUCAAACAAAAAAUAAGAGGGGUUUGACUGGUCUCAGUAAUGACCAGUGUUGGGUAAUAACGCGUUGUUUUGUAAAAUUCAGUAAGUCUGUUUCCGUUACCAAACAUUGCGUUACUCUGUUACAGGUCAGGGCACAGCAUGAUGGUGAGCGAGAGGGGGGAGAUAAGUUUCUCCCUAUGGAGAUACAUUAUUUUCAACUCAAGAGCAAAGGGAAAAGCAACAUUUCGGUAACAUGCUAACUGUGUCAAAUUUUUUUUUCUACAGCAAACAACAGCAACAGCAAUCUACUGAAGCACCUAGAGAAGCAGCAUGCUUCGACAAAGUUAGAAACUAAGGUACCUAAUGCAGCGCCCGAGACUGAGAGUCACAGCAACGAGCACACACCCACUCCACCCACGCAGCAGUGGUUGGAGUUCGAAAGAGGACCCAUAGCCAAGCACAACUUGAUAAAACAAUAGCAUGGGAUGUUUAAUUGUUUAUUUGGAUAUCUUUUAGCACAAUUAGGCUAUAAUUCCAAGAGUCCAAUGGUAAAAUUUUGGUGUUAGUGUCAAGGUUUGUGUUGGUGCACAACAGAUCAUAUUGCUUGAUUAGAUUCAGUGAUGUGGAUGCAAAUGAGUUGAAACAGUUGUUUUAACCGACAGUUUGCUUUAUUCCACAUCAGUACAGAACUGAAGUGACGGCUAGUGGGGAACUCAAUCAAUCCACCUUUAUUUAACAGGAAGAACAUUUUGCAAGACCCUUAGCACUAUGGCCUACCUCAUAAACACGAGUGCGUUACCAUUGAACCGGCUCAGACAGCGCCUGAGUUAAGGUCUACGUCACAUGCUGAGGAACCAUGGAGAUGAGAAAUGGGCUCAGAAUGGAGAAUAAAAUGGAGAAUCUAACUGAUUCCACCAGUCAGUUAGAUAAAAGUACAUUGGAAAAUAGGCUUAAGGUUGUAAAAGCAAAGCUCCCCAAAAAAAGCUCCCCAAAUGCAUAUAUGAAUUCAACCCAAGACCA